ACAAUUCAAAAACUAUUCAUGAAUUCACAAACAAUUAUGAUUUUAAAAGUAUGUCUGACUUUCAAAAAUUGAUCACGAAUUUUCAAAAUUUAUUCCCAAAUUUCAACGAACAGGAAAAAGGAAAAUUGAAAAAACUGAAGAAAAAAGGAGAGAGAACGCAUUGAAGGGAAACAGAAAAGGAAAGGAGGAAGGAAAACAUUUUUUUUUUGUUUGAGUCAGGAAGGAAAACAGGUGAGGUGGAAAAAUGGGAAUGGGCCAGGCCAAUUGAUGCGUCACGCUUGUGUUACGUCGCUUUUCUCCGACCUAUGUGAUAAAUAGAAUGGUGGUUCCUUUUUAACCCGUAGCGCACGCUCUCUCUUCCGGUUUGUGAAGGUUCUAGAACCUUUCAGGCCGUCUUUUUUCCCAAGUUUGCUUUUUCAUUUUCUUCUUAUUUUAUCUUACUAUUUUUUUUAACUUUCAUUUUUGCCUUUUACUUUUCUUUUUAAUUUUCGAACAUCUUUCAAAUUAGUGCACAUUUUAUUAGAAAUAAUGAAGAUUUUUUUAAAUCAUGAAAAAAAUUGAAUUCAUGAACAUUUUCUCAAAUUGUGAAGAAUAUUGGAGAUUGUGAAUACUUUUUGAAUUUGCAAUCUUUUUUUACAAUUUUGCAAACAUUUUUUGAAAUUGUGAUUUUUUUUGAAAUUUGGGAAGAAUUUCUAAAAUUAAUGAAAACAUUGAUUUGACGAACAUUUUUCAAAUUAUGAACUUUUUAUAAAAAUGCGGGGAAAUUAGAUUUGUGAACAUUUUUUUCAAUUUGUGAUCAUUUUUUAAACAUUCAUGAACAUUUUCUGAAUUCAUGAACAUAUUUUGAAUUUGGGAACAAUUUUUUUAAUUAGAUCUUUUUUUCAAAUGCCGGUCAUUUGUUGAUUUUCACAUUCAUGAACAGUUCUCAAAUGUAAAAAAUAAAAGAAACAAAACGGAAAUAAUGAAAGAAAAUGAAAAAUAGGAGCGCCCAGCCCCACACAGGCCGGCCCAAAAUGUGCUGAGGCGCAAGGGGUGCGUGUUGGUGGCUAUUCGCCGACCUAUGUGCGAAAUUGGGGCUCCCCAACGUUUCACGUUGCUGCCUCCUCCUUAGUUGUAGCGUCGUCUGCAACCGCUUCCGGACGUCCCGAGUACAUGUUGACGACGUCAUGGACGCCGCCUCGACCCCCAUGUCCUAGUCCAUCGGUUUGGAGUUGGAUCCCAAGACUUCAACAAGUGUUGCACCUCCAAUGGCCUACCUCCACUGCCUAGGCCAGUAUCUCAUUCACCCUUGCCGGCCGCGAGUCGGGCGCAAAGGUGAAAAACCCUAUGCCAUUGCAUGUAGGUGCCAGCCUCCCCCUGCUUGCGCCGUAGCGGCCUCCAAUGAAAAGGAAGGAAGAAGACAGGUCGCGUCGUUGCCCUUCCUUCCUUCGUUCCGACAGCGGGCGAAACUCGGCACCUUCCGAGUCCUACGUCGGACCGGAAACGUCUCAAUGAGGUAAAAAAACCAUCCUUUACCUUUGUAUUCAGUUUGUUCGAUAAAAUGUGAGGUGACCGUGAAAAGAUGUUGGCAAACGUGCAAUGAAAAAAAUAUCAGUGACUUGAUGAGGACAAGGAAUGAGCACGCGUAGAAAAGCAUGCAAUAAAAGGUGGAGAUGGAGGAGAAGACCUCAAGAGAGGAGGACGAGGUGGGAUGCUACGCAAGAGAGAAGACGGCUUCAUAAGAAGAAGGAGGCGCAUAGGCUCGAAAUUAAGGAGCGUCGAGCCACCACUAAACACAUAGCCAAGGAGAACCGAUUCAUCAUGUUGGAUGCGAGCUCCAUAGAUUCAGUGCCGAGAGAAUUUUUUAAGUAGACACGAAUGGAAAUCAUACACUCUAGGUCCGCCGGAGGAGGGGGCGGUCCACAUGUUGAAGACGGGGCCGAUGCACCCACGGGCAACAUGUCAUUUGUGCAUGCCGCUGGUUAAAUGUUUUUGUUUAUGCAACUUGUUUGAAGUUAUGUGCAUGAUUGCUUUUUGAAUUGUGUGAUAAAAUGUUUGAUCUUAAAGGCAAUCGAAGUAUUUUGAAUAAAAAAACAUUAUGGAGAUUGAGAUAUUUUGUGCUCGAGUUGCUCUAGGCCACGAUCAGCCCGGCCCAUCGUGCCACCAAAUUACACGUUACAUUGCGGCCUGCGAGACCCGGAGUACAUAAAGGAAGCCCAAACCCGAAGCAACUUCCCCAACCCGAGACGACCAGCAGAAAAAAGGAAAAAGCAGAGGACCCAGCUCCCCUGCCCCCUUCCUCCGCCAACGGCGCAAGAAGCAGAGGAGGGCAAGCCGGCGGAGCAGAGCAGAACAGAGGGACAGGGGAGAUGGCGGCACCGCGCCCACAGCCGCUGCUGCUCCUGCUCCUCGUCGCGCUGCUGGCUGCCUCCGCGCCCCGCCGCGCCGACGCCUGGGGCAAGGAGGGCCACAUCAUGGUCUGCAAGAUCGCCGAGGUACUGUACGCCCCCUUCCCAAGAAGAUAAUAAUUCCGUCGGAUCGAGCUGGGGGCUGCUAGCUCGUGGGUGAGGAUGAAGGAAGGAAUGUGCCUGCGUGCGUGCGUGCGUGCUGAAUUGGGUUUGUGUGCUGCGUGCAGAGGUACCUGUCGGAGGAGGCGGCGGCGGCGGUGCAGGACCUGCUGCCGGAGUCGGCCGGCGGGGAGCUGUCGACGAUGUGCCCGUGGGCGGACACCAUGCGCUUCCGCUACCACUGGGCCAGCCCGCUCCACUACGCCAACACCCCCAACGUCUGCAACUUCAACUUCUCCCGUCAGUUCAUCCUCCUCCCCCUUCUUUCCUACUAGUACCUUUCUAGUUCGAUCAAUUGUGGUUUCUGAUGCAAAACCGAACAGAGUUUAAUUAGUGCCAUGACUAGUGUUAAACCAGCAAGAAGAUGCUUUUUUUUUCAAUUCCCUAAUAACACAUAUGGUAUUUAAAAGAUACACAUGUCCCUAUAAGACCAAUGAUUUUUGCUAUUGAACAAUUGUCUAGAAUUAUUUAUCGCAAGUCAAUUAUGUGCCUACCCUUUUCGUAUAGAAAUAUUGAAGUUAUUUAUAGCUUAUUGCAAGUCUAGCAAAUGUGCAGUUUUAGAGGGUUGAGAUUCACAGCCUUUUCUGGAAAAUACUCAGAUUUAUUAUAAAAGUUCACCAGAAGUGCAAAGCACCCUAAAUAUGAUAAUUACAUUGAGGUCUCUGGACCAUCGAACAACCAUUGCUGCUGUCAGAACGAGCCAUUGUCGCUCUGUUGUUGUCGCCGCCGCUCCCAUACUGGAGUCGGCUUGACCUUGUCGAUAAUAGCCGAGAGGUUUCGUACACCUGCACCCAAGGACCAGUGCCAUGGAGUCGUAGUCGUCGCCGUUGAUCCCUUGAAUCGAUCUAAAAAAACCGACACCAAAUCUCGUCGUAGCGUACAUACGAUGAGAAACACUAACCCGGCCGCCUCGAGGAGCUAUAAGGAAUGUACACCGGAGCUCCUUCUAAUCCGUCCCGAUGGACGAAUUGGAGGAGGAUCGAAGUCCGAAAGACUGGCUCGAAGAAGUGUCGCAAUCCAUCCAAGAGUCCGCCCCUGCAUGAACUAAAACCCUAACUUAUCUACUAGCAGAACCCGAGGUACCAUGACUCUCCUCCCCGCCACCGAGCGCCCGGAGCAGCAGGCGGAGGGGAGGCGAAUCCACAAGUGCUCGCUGGCUUGCCUUAUGGAAGGGGGAAGAAAGACAACGGACUGGCGGUGGAUUAGCUAACAACAAAGAGAAAAUAAGUGUUUUUUUACAAGAAUAAUAAAAGAAUGUAAACAUUUGUAGGACAAUAUAAGAAGAAAUGUUGUUUUGAGAUAAGAUUGGUUGCAUGCAUGAGGGGGGAGGUAUCGGCAGAUCCUUUGCUUGCACAUGCCUAUCGCAUAUGUGCCAUCUUGUGAAUCCGGGACCAACCGGGGAUGUUGCUUGUUGGAGAGUGAGAGAGGUUGAGUCAAGACAAAGGGUUCCCCCACUCUCUGAGCUUAAUUAGUUUGCUUGCUUCACGCAUCCCCCCACACGAUUCCAUCCGCACCACAUACACAUACACCGCUGUGCCGAACCGAUCGUUUUCGUCAGGGCAGAGCAGACAGUGUUCCUCCGUCUCGGAUCACCUAAAUAACUGCACUCCCUCAAAAGAGAGAAACUACACGUGGGCAAGUGAGGGCAAUCUGCUGCUAUCUAAUCUGAAUAUCUGAUCUGGUCUGGCGACAGCAAAAUAUUGCUGGACUUGUUCUCUUUCGCCGCGCGGCAUGUGGCCUUGCACGCGAGCGCGACGGACGGACGGACGGACGGACGCCGGCGAUCACCAUCACAUGGUCACAUGGAUGAUGAUGAUGGAAUGGAUGUGACCACAUACUAACCUAUUAUAUUAUUAACGGAGCAUAUAUAUAUAUAUGUUGCGACGUGAGACGCACCAUUAGUGGGUAUAUUACGUGCGGUCGUCAGAUGAAUAGAUAAUCUAAUGUUGUGACGACUAGGCUAGCGAGUGAUUUUUUUUUCACCAGAUGUCUAGACAGUGUGGUAGCAGAGCCUAGUAGAACAGCCAGGCAUAAAGUGUUUUAGUUUGUGUUGGGUUGUUGAGUUGAGCUUGAAGCGUGCGUGAGCUCAUGUGGCCGUGUAAAUUUCAGGGGAUUGCCACAACUCUCGCGGGGAGCAGGGGAUGUGCGUCGUCGGGGCCAUCAACAACUACACGGACCAGCUCUACACCUACGGGGACUCAUCAAAGAGCUCGUGUAAGUGCCCCCCAACACACUGUCGAAACAUAUGCAACAAGGGCUUCUGAAUCUGACGGAGAGAUUACCCUGUAUUCGCAACGCAGACAACCUGACGGAGAGCCUGAUGUUCCUGGCGCACUUCGUGGGCGACGUGCACCAGCCGCUGCACGUCGGCUACGAGGAGGACGAGGGCGGCAACACCAUCAUGGUGCACUGGUACCGCAGGAAGGCCAACCUGCAUCAUGUACGUGUAUAUCCUUGCCACGCCUCACAUCGAACAUUCAGACUUGUUAUGUUUUUUGGUCUGGACUGAACUUGUCGGAAUGUUUCUCUUGUGUGUUGGCAGGUGUGGGAUGUCAGCAUCAUCGACACGGUCAUGAAGGACUUCUACAACAAGAGCCUCGACACCAUGGUGGACGCCCUCCAGACGAACCUCACGGUGAGUACACCACUAGCCUAUCAACAGUUCAAAACACUGCCAGUACCUUCCUUGUUGUGUUUCUAAUAAUGCUAGCUGUGAGCUGCAGGAGGGAUGGUCCGACGAUGUCGGUCACUGGGAGAACUGUGCCAACAAAGAGGCGACCUGCGCAAACGAGUAUGAUUCCAUACCCAAACACUUGCGCUUUUUUCAGUUCAUGUCUUGUGCAACUGAUUCGAUCACAAGAUUUGACAUGAUAUGGUAUCAAAUCCGCCUUGCAGCUACGCGAUCGAGAGCAUAAAUCUUGCAUGCAACUAUGCCUACAAAGAUGUGGUGCAGAACAUCACCCUAGGAGGUCAGUGUCUAUGUUCACAGCAGUACUUGUAGAAACUACAGCAGUGUAUACAUUUUGCCUAGCUAGAGUGCAGUGCUAAUGGUUGGCAACUCUUCUGAAAUGCAGAUGAUUAUUACUUCACCCGGUACCCGGUUGUGGAGAAGAGGCUAGCACAGGCCGGCGUCAGACUGGCGCUGAUACUCAACCGUAUAUUCGACAAGAAGAAAGAAGCAGAUGCUAUGCCGUUAUACAUACAGUAAAGUAGCUAUACUACUUGUACAAAUAUAGAGUAGAUAUACGGGCUGGAAGGUAUUGUAGCUGCCGCUGACACGCCAGUUCGAUCACUUACCGCUUCAAUAGGUUUACGCGUUCUGUAAUAAGAGUCACGCAACCUUGGCACAGCAUUCAGAAAUUCAAUUGUUGUAAAGUUGUAGUCUAUUUGCUUGAACGAUAAACAAAUCCACAAGUGCAGUUGAAAGCGAUAUUUUAUCUUUCUCUCAUCUUCUUCAUUUCUUUACAUUAGUGUGUUACCGUUAAAUCUGAGACAUGAUAUAAAUUAGUUGUACAUUUCUUGGUGUCAUGACUCGAUGGUACAAAUAACCUGUUCUACUAGCCCUUCUAUGAACCCAUGAUGGCGAGUAGAUUCAGUUUCCUGAGCCAAUUCCAAUAGAAUGGGUGGGAACAAUCAAUGUGAAAUCUAUAUAGAACAAAUGGUGCACCAAAUCAAUUUUAUUCAUAUAUCUGAACCUCACGAUCUGAGACAUCUAAACAAGGGGAGCCUGCCUACAGGCAAUCGGUCGUCA
rnacentral:lncRNA from 1 species